CUGUGGAGACCAAGAAAAACAAGACUGUACCCACCUCGGGUCUAGCCCUGAGAUACCUUGUGGGAAAGAAAUCCAGAGGACGAAAGGAAAGGAGAAAUGGCCAGUUCUCAGGGACAGCUGACCUUCAGGGAUGUGGCCAUAGAAUUCUCUGAGGAGGAGUGGGGAUGCCUGACCCACACUCAGCAGCAACUGUACAGGGAUGUAAUGUUAGA